rnacentral:rRNA from 1 species
GGCCACAUAUUACCACCAUAAACACACUGAUUGUGUGUGCUAAGCAGGGUCAGGCCUGGUGAAUUCUUGGAUGGGAGUCCCUCAAGGAAUAACAAGAUCUUUGGGCA